rnacentral:rRNA from 1 species
CCUACGGGAGGCAGCAGUGGGGAAUAUUGGGCAAUGGGCGAAAGCCUGACGCAGCAACGCCGCGUGAGGGAAGAAGGCUUUCGGGUUGUAAACUUCUUUUGACAGGGAAGAGCAGAAGACGGUACCUGUCGAAUAAGCCACGGCUAACUACGUGCCAGCAGCCGCGGUAAUACGUAGGUGGCAAGCGUUGUCCGGAUUUACGGGGGGUAAAGGGCGUGUAGCCGGGCUGACAAGUCAGAUGUGAAAUCCGGGGGCUCAACCCCCGAACUGCAUUUGAAACUGUUGGUCUUGAGUAUCUGAGAGGCAGGUGGAAUUCCUAGUGUAGGGGUGAAAUGCGUAGAUAUUAGGAGGAACACCAGUGGCGAAGGCGGCCUGCUGGACGACAACUGACGGUGAGGCGCGAAAGCGUGGGGAGCAAACAGGAUUAGAUACCCGAGUAGUC